CAUCCGACCAUCUCACUCCCCUGCCCUCGGCCUCCGGCGCCCAGCCCCCUCCUCCGCGGCUCCGCCAGGCGCCAGGCCACCAGUCCGCCUCCGGCCUCCCGAGCGCGGCGGCAGCCGGCAGCGACCUCCAGGCUCCAGCCACCGUCCUCGGGCCUCCCCGGCGCGGCGGCAGCACCAUCCAGCAGUCCGGCCUCCGUUCCUCAAUAGCCACAAUACCCUGACGCCGGUUGGCCCCGGCACAACGCCGCUCCCUGCCAACACCCCUCUCCCUCAGCUGCUGACCUCGGCAACGGGCUCACCCACACGCCUCUGCUGCCAGAAGAUUGCCUGCAGCUAGCAAAGGCUAAUGGAUCGAAGUUGGAUGAGUAAACCAAGAUCAACUACUGAUUAUAAAGAAGGUGUUGAGCUAAUGGUUGGUUAUCUGACAUAUUCGAAUUGUCAUACAAAGAUUACAAGUUGGUCUUCUUUAAAUGUGAUUGGGGAGAAGUUAGAGGAUGAACCUUUUGUAUUUUCUUCCCAAGUGGACCAGGUCUACUACAUCCAAAAUCCGAGAAGUGAGAAUUGGAAUACCAUGGUGAAAUUCAAACCUCGUGAUAUUUUUGACAUGGGUGGAGAACCAUCUUCAGAUGAAACAGAGAUAGUCUUUGUGUUUUUAGCUUGUUAUCUGUAGCUAAGAUAUAGGUUGAGCAAUUGUCAUCCAUGCUCCUAGGUAGAAUUACUCCAACAUAAUUAUUCUAACUGGGUGGAUCUUCUUCGGAAUGUAUGUUACUCUGUGAUGAACGAGCCUAUGGUAUUUUUUUAAUGUGUAUGUUCC